rnacentral:rRNA from 1 species
GAUGAACGCUGACAGAAUGCUUAACACAUGCAAGUCAAUUCGAUUUACCUUCGGGUAUUGAGGAUGGCGGACGGGUGAGUAACGCGUAAGGAACUUGCCUCUUGGUCUGGGACAACUGUUGGAAACGACAGCUAAUACCGGAUAUUAUGAGAUUCUCGCAUGGGAAACUUAUGAAAGCUAUAUGCGCCAAGAGAGAGCCUUUCGUUCCAUUAGCUAGGUGGUGGGGUAACGGCGCACCAAGGCGACGAUGGAUAGCCGGCCUGAGAGGGUGAACGGCAAAAAGGGGACUGGGACAUGGGCCUUACUCCUACGGGAGGCAGCAGUGGGGAAUAUUGGACAAUGGGCCACAAGCCUGAUCCAGCAAUUCUGUGUGCACGAUGAAGGUCUUCGGAUUGUAAAGUGCUUUCAGUUGGGAAGAAGAAAGUGACGGUACCAACAGAAGGAGCGACGGCUAAAUACGUGCCAGCAGCCGCCGUAAAAC